rnacentral:rRNA from 1 species
GACGAACGCUGGCGGCGUGCUUAACACAUGCAAGUCGAACGGGCACGCCCUGCUUUUUGGGGGUGCUCUAGUGGCGAACGGGGGAGUAACACCGUGGUUACCUUCCCUUCUCUUUGUGGUAACUUCCUGGAACGGGGGCCAAUUCCGGAUAGUAGCUCCUGCUCCAUGUUGGGCGUGGGAGGGUUGCGGCGGUUGGGGAUGGACUGGCGGCUGAUCAGCUUGUUGGUGGGGUAGUGGCUUACCAGGGCUUUGACGGGUAGCCGGCCUGAGAGGGGGACCGGCCACAGUGGGACUGAGAGAGGGACGAGACUGCUGCGGGAGGCAGAAGUGGGGAGUAUUGCACAAGGGGCGGAAGCCUGUUGCAGCAACGGCGCGUGCGGGAGGACGGCCUUCGGGUUGUAAACCGCUGUCGCGUGUGAUGAAGCGUGAGUGACGGUAGCGGGUAAUGAAGCACCGGCUAACUACGUG